UAAAACUACUUUUUUGUCAUAAAUUAACCAUUUGUUUUAUUCACGUAUGUUUAUAUUUAAUUUCCCCAGUAACUCCUUGAGAAAGGUGUUAUCACUUUCCCCAACUUACAGAUGGAAAUAGUUAGGAUUAAAAGACUCAGUUGUGCAACCAAUAGAUAGAGAGGUCAAAAUUGAAACACGUUUCCUGAUUUCCACUCUCAGGAUCUUUUCACUGUACCAUUCAUCCUGCUUCCUAAUAGAACCAUGAUGCUAGUUUCAAUGCCUUCUAGUUCAUCCUCUUUCAUUUCUUUCUUCCAUUUUCUCUUUUUGUCCCUCUGUCACUCCCUUUUACAAUCCCCUUCUUCCUUUAAAAACUCCUUGUGAUGUCAUGAUGGGCAUCCAGGUUGCCUCAGAAUGAACUUUGUGUGGUAUCAUGGCCCCUGGUUUGCUUUAUUGUCCUGUUUAUUCAAAGUUAAAGUGCCAGGAGGAGAGAAGUGGGGGAGGUAAUAGAAGAAAAAAAAUUAAAGUGCCAGGAGGAGAGAAGUGGGGGAGGUAAUAGAAAAAAAAAAAAUUAAAGUGCCGGUAGAGUAAACUCAGGGGAGAAAGGAUUUUCUCAUUAAUUCUUCAUGAGAUAUAUCUUAGGGGAUUACAGUGCUUUCUUUGUGCAGCAUCUACUUGAGACAUGUGAAAAAAAGAGAUAUGUUACAAUGAAGGUUACACGUUAAAUCUUCCUUUCUUCAAGUCCUGAGGUGUAGCUUACUGAUAGAGCUAAGAGGAAAGGGAUACAAAAUUGAGACUUCUUGCCUCAGUACCAACAACACAUCUCAAUUUUAUUUUCUUCUUCCUAUUUCUACACUUAAUUAUUUUUUCCUCUAAAAUUGCAUUCCUUUACCUGAUUUGAUACUCAAUCUUGUGUACCCAAUGUCUCUAUCUAUAAACACUUUGGUUCAUGCAGACCAACAGGUAAAUGCCCAUUGAGAGCUGUAUGUAAUCCGAAUGCUUUCAAGACUCAUUUUCAAUGUUAUAGUGUCUCUGGUUCAAUGGUUACUCUACUGGGUGACCGAGGAGCCACUAUAGAAAGGCAUUAGGGUCAUCCCUCAGUAUCCAUGGGGGAUUGGUUCUAGGAAACACCCCCUACAGGCCCCUGUGGAUACAAAAUCCAUGGAUAUUCAAAUAUGUUAUGUAAAAUGGUAUAGUAUUUGCAUAAAACCUAUGCACAUCCUUCAUAUACUUCAAAUCAUCUCUAGAUUACAUAUAAUAUAUAAUGCAAUGUACAUGCUAUGUAAAUAGUUGUUCUACUAUAUUGUUUAGAGAAUACUGGCAUGAAAAAAUAAUCUGUAUAUGUUCAGUACAGGCACAACCAUCCAUUAUUAAUUUCAAACAUUUUUGAUCUGUAUUUGGUUGAAUCCACAGAUUUGGAACUCAUGGAUAUGGAAGGUCAACUCCACUCAUUAUUGUUAAUUUUUUUCUCCUCAAAGCCACCAUAGGCCUCUAUAGCUACUGGCCUGUCUAUUUUUAUAAAUAUGUUAUAGUAUUAGAGUUUCCAAAACUCCCUUCCAUCUAUUGAAUUUGCUUGUGCCCCACUUAUAAUAGGGUGCUCUUAGGUUUUCCUUAACUCUUCUAUGCUGUGUAAUACAUACUUUGGGAACAAAGGAAAAAGUAAUAUGAAAUUGAGACUCACUCUGCUAAAUUUGUUUCUUUCAGCUGGUUGGUUUCUUCUAGGCCUUUGUUAAUUCUUUUUAGGAUUGAUCAUCCAAAUCAGUGUUAAUAUUGUGAGGUUGGAUUGGCACCUAUGUUGAAGCAAAAAAUAAUAUGCUGAGCUAAAUAGAGUCUGAGACUUAAUAUAAGUUCCACUAUUUCAUAGUUCUAUGACCAGUGCAAUUCCCUUACACUUUCUGAAAUCAGUUUCAUCCUUUUAUUGAAUGAGAAUUAUACCUGCUUCAAAAGCAUUUUCUGCAAUGUAGAAUAUUCUAUGUGCAUAAGGCAUUAUAAUUGUUAGGUAGAAAUUUGAAGAUAGAUGAGCUGUUUCAGAUUAUACAGUAUAAAAUCUAACAGCUGGUUUCAUAGAAAGAAAGAAGCAACAAAGAGAGAUAACAAUAUCUGAGAGUAAAUGUCUUGAAUUAAAAUCACCAUUUAAAAGGUAUUCUUGUUUCUCAAAAUUAGCCAUUUUUUCAUAUUAAUACUUAGUAUAGAAAAAAAUGUUCAUAAACUGGUAAAUUCAUAUAUUUUUAGUAGCAGUGACUAUUGUAAUAGUACUUUUUUAGAAAGAAAUUUGACUUUAUGUAUUAUGGGUCAUAGAAUUGUUUAUUUACUUUGACCUCCUUCUGAAAAUCUAUCUGGAAGAAAUAUGAAAAAUGUAAUAUGCACAAAUAUGCUAAUAAAGUUGUUUACAAAAGUAAAAAAUGGUAGCGACCUACAUGUCAAACAAAAGGAUAUGGGUAAAUUAAUUAUGCAUAGAUGUAAGGCAGCUACUAAAUAUAUGACCUGGAAGAGUUUGUAUAAUGACAGUUAUAUAAAGAAACUCUGGGUAUAUAUAUAAAUUUGAAAGUCUGAAUAGUAAUAUACUAAAAUGUUAACAAUUAUUGCAUUGCAAAGAGAUUGUUUUUCUUUCCUAAGUUUAUAGUUUUACUUCAGACAUAUUUGGACCAGUUAACAUAACUCUUGGCUACAAAUAACAGUAAUCUGACUCCAGAAACCUAAAUAAAUUGGAGUUCAUUUUUCUCAUUUAACAAGAAGCCCAAAUUGUAUGUCUUAGUUCUAUGACUUAACAGGGUCCGGGCUAGAGACACUGUUGGUCUUUACUUCUUUGUUGCCAGAUGACUGCUGAAGUUCUCACCAUCUUUUCUGUAUUCAAGGCAGAAGGAAAGACUAGUGGAGAGAAACAUGCCAGCUACAUCCACCUCUUUUUAACUGGAAAAAGAAAGAAUGAACAGAAAGGAUGAGGACUCUCCUAUCAUUUAAGUACCUACAAGAAGCCACUGAUACCUUCCUGUGACUUUCAUGGAAUUACAAGGCUGGUCCUAUAAAUUGCUUUGACCAAACAAAUGCAGUAAAAUUGAUGUUCUGGGACUUCCAGGCCCAGCACUGAAGAAGAAUGGAAGCUGCCACUUCUCUCUUGGGUUUACCAGCAGCCAUGCUUAUGGAAGCUUGUGCUAGACUUUAAAUGUUUAGACAUCAUGUGGAGAGAGGCCUAGGAAGAUGACAGACCAUUCUGGAUGUUCCAACCCCAGCAGAGCUCACAGCGGGCUUCAGUAAUAUGAGUACUUCAGGCAAUAUAAUGGGAAGCAAAGAAUUGACAAGAUGAGUCCUGACCAAGAAAACCUUGGAAAAUUAUUGUUUUAAGCCACUAAGUUUCAGUGUGGUUUGUUAUAUAUUAAUAGGUAAGUGAAAUGUAUAGCUCGUACAAAGGCAUGGAAUGUUAAGACGUUAGGAAGAUAGGCAGAGAAAUAUAAGUCUUUCCUGGUCACAAUUCCUUUUGCACACACAGCAUGGACAGAACAAGAAGCCAAAAAAUGAACAUGAGCUAUACAUUGCUGUCAGUUUGCUGCUGUGGCCCUAAAACGUAAGACUACUUUGGGGACCAUUUGCAUGGUGAUGUUUCAGCACCAGAACUGAGCUGGCAGAAGGAAUUCCAGGUGUGGACAGUGUUGAUUCCAGAAAUCAGCAAGGAGGUAAUAGCUGCAGUUCUCAGUUUGCGUUCAGGAUGCCAACUAAUGGAAGUAAACUGAGACGUCAUGAGGGGACAGGAGACAUAAAAAGCUAUAGUUUAUGUUAGAAGCCAAGGAAUACGAAGCAGAAAGGGAAGUCAACAGAGUUAAAUGGCAGAGAUCUGGGAAGAAGUCACCAGUGUGUUCUCACUGGAUUCUGCAUAGUGCUGUCUUCAGUGCAUGAUCCCAUAACUGCCCUGCAGGAACCGUCCAGAGCUUGUUCCUUGCUCUGUAUACAUUUCCCAAAAGGUGGGCCCAGUUUCCCAGAUUCUGAAGUCACAAAUUUAUCAAGAUCUGGUGUAAAACAAUGUUCAGUUUUAAGAUAGCAUUUUUUCAAUUUAGAAGCUUUUUUUUAAAGAAAAAAAUAUGUGAUUACAUUUUUUGAAGGCUUGAAAAUAGAGAAUGGAAGGAAAUCGGGCAGUACCUGAAGACAGUCUUUCCCUUGCCCACCUCCUCAUUCCCACCACUUCCUUGAUUCCACUGGAAACAGCUGUGUGAAACCCAGCUACCAUUUUUGUCCAGAUCGGCCCUUUAGACUUGAGCAUAUGUCUCCUCCUGAUCACUUAGCUCCUCCAUUUAUAAAACUGGAGUAGAAAUUCCUUCCUCAUAUGCUAGAAUGUAAAUUAAAUAAUUAGUAAUUUGUUAAACACUUUGAAAAUGAAAAUGCUAAGUAUUGUUAUUAUUUCAGGGGCAAUUUACUCCUUCUGAUUCAUUUGUAAUUAUUUCAUCAAAACAUCUUUCAGUAAGAGCUGUUUGAUGUGUAAAAUGCCUUAUGGGCCUUCCCUAUAAGACUUUUGUUAUCAAAAUUAGAUGGCGGCCUUGCCAACUGGAACUCAUUUGCAACCAAAGGUUUGCAAUAGUGUAAGUGUCAAAUCACCCUUUUACUCAGCCAGAAGCCCAUUAAAAAACAAACAAAGCCUAGAACAGUGAUUCAUCCCUGUAUUUGUCUGUAAUAGUCCCUUACCAGAAAAUCAGAUAAGGACUAGAGACAGGCCCGGGUACCAAGUGGGAACUUGAUGAAGUUUGAGUUUAGCCCUUUCCCUGACUCUCGCACCUCUCUAGGAACUCUUGCUUCCUCAGUUCCAGGUUCCUAGCUCAGUGAAUUUAUAUACAACUAUAUGUCAUAUUGGAAGAUUGAUGUGGUGCACUGAGCCCUUAAUAAAAUUAAUCAUGAUUAACUCCUGAACAAUAUAUUUUUUGAAGUUUUUAAAAUACCCCUUAGAGCAGUGGGGAUUGAAUAGUUAACCCUGGAUUGUCAUGAAUCAUAGCCUGAAGCAGCCAAUGAGAAAUGAGAAAUCUCUUUGACGUCUACACUUAAAUCUU